rnacentral:rRNA from 1 species
UACGAAGGGGGCUAGCGUUGUUCGGAAUUACUGGGCGUAAAGCGCACGUAGGCGGACUGACAAGUCAGGGGUGAAAUCCCGGGGCUCAACCUCGGAACUGCCUUUGAUCCUGUCAGUCUAGAGUCCGGAAGAGGUGGGUGGAAUUCCUAGUGUAGAGGUGAAAUUCGCAGAUAUUAGGAAGAACACCGGUGGCGAAGGCGGCCCACUGGUCCGGAACUGACGCUGAUGUGCGAAAGCGUGGGGAGCAAACAGG